rnacentral:rRNA from 1 species
UACGUAGGUGGCAAGCGUUGUCCGGAUUUACUGGGCGUAAAGAGCGCGCAGGCGGCUGGGCAAGUCCGAUGUGAAAGCUUCCGGCUUAACUGGAAAAUUGCAUCGGAAACUGCUCGGCUUGAAGGUGGGAGAGGGUAGCGGAAUUCCUGGUGUAGCGGUGAAAUGCGCAGAUAUCAGGAAGAACACCUAUGGCGAAAGCAGCUCUCUGGGACGGUACUGACGCUGAGACGCGAAAGCGUGGGGAGCGAACAGG